rnacentral:lncRNA from 1 species
AAUUGUGCAACAACACUUAGCUUCAUUCUCUCUAGACCAAACCUCCAAAAUUUUCUUACCCAUAAGCUCAUAAUCAAAGCCCAGCCAUCACAAACCACAAAUCAGAAGCAUCAAGAAGUCAGAAAUCAAAAAUCAAGCUUGAAAAGGUAGGAAACCCUAAAUUCUAGAAAUCCUUCGAUUCAAUGUUAAUUGAUGCAAUUUAUUGUUUAAAGUUGUGUAAUAAGGAGUCUAUUAAUGUUCGGGGUUGUAAAAACACAGACCCAUAACAUCAAAGUGCUCAAAAUCAAAGAUUUAAGCAAGUUAGAAAAAUCGAAUUCUGUGAUUUUUGGACAAAUGUCAGGCCUUAUAUCUCGGUUAUCUUUAAUGUGUUUUGUGUUCUAAAGGUUGUUAUGUAUAGCUUGUUAUGUGGUAUUUAAUCUCCAAAAAGAAUCAGGUCCAUAUAUAUAUUGGAUUAUGAGUUAUUUAAGGUCAAAGUGGGUUGACCGGCAUUGACUGGAAAAUUCUGGGCAGCCCAGAAUUUUCGAAGUGUUGAUUUUUCUGACAAGGUUUGACCAUACUUUAGCUGCUUUAUUUCUUGUUGUUAGGAUGAUGUUAAGUGUUAAAGUUGUAGUCCUACAAGUUUUUCUACACACUGAAAUUGAUAGAUCACAUAAACGUUACACGAUCGUCAAGUUAUAGAGGCCCAAAGUAGGCAUCACGAACUGUUCUUCACGAAGAACAGCUCUGACAGCUACUUUGAUGGCUUAUUUCUCCCAGAUCUGAUGUUGUUUAAACGUUAUGAUUGUUGGUAAUUGUAGUCUGGUAUUUCCUCUACAAGACCCAAUUCAUAGAUUGCCCAGAUUCAUUAAGAACAAAAAUUUAUUCAUGGUCAAAGUAGCCCCCUUGAACUGUCUCUGACAGUGUUCUUGAGAUGAAGAACACCUAUAGCGAUGGUUGUCUGUCGCUAUAACCUUUAGCGACGGAUUUUAUUUAUUUUAUUUUUUGUAAUUUCCGAAAAUGAUUUAAAAAAUUAGAAAAAUUAGAUUUUAAUUAUUAAAAAUACUUAUUAAAUUCUGAAAAAUUAUUUUAAAGUCCGAAAAAUAGUUUUUAAUUAUUUUGAGUAUAUUUCAUAAAUAUUUAAUAUUUUUGGAAUAUAAAAGGUAUUUAUUUAUUUAAUUAUAAUAUUAAAUAAAUGAUUUAAAAAUAGUUUUAAUUCAUGAAAAAUCAUGAAAAAUUAUUUUAUGGUAUAAGAAAAUAUUUUAAGUUAUUUUCCAUGACUUUUAAUAUUUUGUGAUGAAUUUCAUUAAUUAAUUAUAUAUUAAUGAUAUUAAAGUUAUUUAAUGAUUAUAUUAAAUAAUUUAGUUUAAAAAUGAUUUUAAUAUUAUAAAAAUCAUUUUAAAUGAAAUUAAGGUAUUUAAAAAUAUUUUAAGUUAUAAAAUAUAACUUUUAAUAUUUAAAGGAUAAUUUCAUUAAUAAUUUAAUAUUAAUGAUAUUAAGAUAAUAUUAAUGAUAUUUAGUUUAUUUAAUAAUUAUUAUUAAAUAAAUAGUUUAAAAAUGGUUUUAUUUAUUUAAAAAUCAUUUAAAGAGGAUAUUAAGGAUUUAAAAAUAUUUUAAGUUAUAAUUAAUGACUUUUAAUAUUUGGAUGAAUAGUACAUUAAUAUUUAUAUAUUAAUGGUGAUUAUUUAAAAAUGAUUUUAAUUGUUUUAAAAAUCAUUUAAGGGUAAUAUAAAUGUUUUAAAAAUAGUUUGAGUUAUUAUAAAUAACUUUUAUAUUUUGGCAAUGGUUUCAUUAAUAGUUUAAUAUAAAUUAAUUAUUAAUGAUAAUGGAAUUGUUUAAUGUUUAAAUCAUUUAAUUAUGAUUCCGAUGUUUGAAAGUUAUAGCCGGCCAAACUAGCUGACUUGAGAACCGAUUAUGAAGUUAUGAAGUUUUGAGGAACACCUAUAGUAACAGUUAUAUCACUAUAGGCCCGGUAGUGACAGAUUUGAAUUAUUUUAAAUUUUUCAAUUUCUGGAAAAUUCGAAAAUGAUUAAAAAUAAAAUGUUUGAUAUUUACAGAUGUUGAGGUAUAGGAUAAGAGUCUUAGACUCAGUAUUUACCCGAUAAAGCUGUCGGUACGCCGACAAAUGUCAGACCCUAUAAUAGAAAGAAAAGACUUCUGUAAGAGCAUGGAUGAGAUAUUUGAAAAAUGUAUAAAAAUAUUUCAAGUAUAGAAUAUGAACUAAAAGUAUGAUCACUGCGAUUAUGUGAUGACGUGAUUAGACUAUGUGCUGACUGUAAUAGACAGUACUAUGUGUUAUGAUAUAUUGUUCUAAUCGAACGAAUGAUCUGAUUAUUGAUAGGUUGUGAUAAAGAGAUAAAACCUAAGUUGAGAUUUGUAAUCAGCGAAUCAGGCAAGUAUCUUACCUUUGCAUUUCCUUUAUGCAAUGGACAUGAGUAAGAAGUUUCAGAAUUAUUCUAUUCCUGUACAGAUUAUGUACGCUUUGAUUAUCAACAUGUUAGCUCAGAUAUAUAUUCUGUUAAGUUGAUUUCUAAAUGGUUAUACAAGUGUCCCCACUUGGAUAAUCAUGGCAUUUAUUCACAUGUUGAUAUACCUUUGUCAAUUACC